rfam:Oryza glumipatula chromosome 2, whole genome shotgun sequence.
UUUAAGUGUAACCAUGAGUUUUCGCGCACAACUUUGAUCGUCCGUCUUAUUUGAAUUUUUUUAAUAAUUAAUAUUUUUGUUGUUACGAGAUGAUAAAACAUGAAUAGUACUUUACUCGUGACGUGUGGUUUUUAAUUUUUUCAAAAUUUUUUUAAAUAAGACGGGCGAUUAAAAUUGGGCGCGAAAAACCAUGGAUACACUUAAA